rnacentral:lncRNA from 1 species
AUUAAAGGCAUGCACCACCACUGCCCAGCAUCAGAUUUCUUAAUAGGCCAAAAUUUCUAGAUAUGUCACUGGUCAGAAAGAGGCAAUUUUCCUAUGUUUUCUUAAUUUGGGCAUUAAAAGAGAAAAAGAAAAAAGGCCACAUAUGUAAAAGCCUGGGAUUAAAAGAUUUGUUUUAGAGUUCCAGACCCAGUAACUUCAACUACAGAAGGGUGCAGGUAUUAACUGGUCAGAACUAUGUCUGGACCAGAUUUCAGCCUGUCCCUACACAGAAACAACUUCCUAUUUGCCACCCAGACCCAUUGAUCCCAAAGGGAGGUCAGGGCCCAUCAGCCCUGGAGUCCACAGUCAAUGCCUAAGGGCCCUUGCUUUACUUUGCCCCAGUGAGCCAUCAUCACAAACGUGCUCAUGGUCCUGGGGCUCCUUCAUCAGUACCCGGGAGGCUUCCCAUCACCACACAGCAUCCCCUACCAUCAUCAAGCACUUGUGAAGCCAGUAGGGAGGUUGGGAGGACUUGCGCGAGUGGGUAAACCUGAGAAAGAAAAUUGAAGACAGGUGAAUUCUUUGACCGUCCUAUCUCUACCACCCAGAGGACAUUCUUUCACCUUGCUCUGCCUGCCUGACUCCUCAGAGGCUGAGUUUGUUCUUCUGCUCAGAAUGUGGCCACUGUCUUUGAUUCCUGUGGUUCUCAGGUGUGGUGUCAGUCUCUGCAAUUCCCACCAAGGCACCGAGGCACCUAUAUGGUGGCUGACUGUGUAUUCCUCACACAACCAGCACCCGAGUGUCUAUCCCUAAGGGCUCAAAGUAUCCAGAGUGGAAAGAGACCUCUUUUUAAAAAUAUUUCUUGAUAUGUACUUAGGGGAUAUAAGCAGGAGCGUGGGGAGUUUAAGGUUAACCUGGGCAAUACCAUGAGAUCCUCUUUAAAUGACUAAAUACGUUGAUAAGCCUGUGAUAAAACUUAGCUCCUUGUUUGCUUGUAGGUUUGUUUAUGUUUCUUUGAGAAAGGGUCUUGAUGUGUGUCCCAAAUAAGGCCAAAGCUUUAGUUCUUAAUGAUACCCCUGGAUUCAGAUCUAUGGCUUAGAACUUUAAAAAGUAUAUACACUGGGCCUGUGAGGUGCUUCGGUGGGUAAACGUUUUUUGCCACUAAGUCUGAAAGCCUGAGUUUGAUGGCGGCCACAUUGUAGAGAGAAUCUACGCUUGCAAAUUGUCAUCUGACCUCCGUAUGUGCACCAUAGCAUGUGAUGCCCAAACAUGUGAACAUAUGUAGACACAUACAUAUGUACACACACACACACAAACACACACACACACACACACACAGAGAGAGAGAGAGAGAGAGAUUUAAAAGUAUGCACUACUUGGAAGAAAUCACCUCCUUUUAGAAUAGACUUCAGUCCUCACUAUGCCCUUAUGAGGGCUUCUGUUAUCAGAGCACUGAAAAGGUGGUCAGAGGUCUUAUUUGUUCGUUUUGCUGACUGCAGGAACCUUCCUCCCACGAAGGUCUCAGGAAGGGGCUCUGUUACUUACAAAGUGUGCUCUUGGGCUGUACUGUGUACAUUCUGCAGUUUGCUCUGGUUCCCUGGAUGCAGGACUCCUCAAGCUAUGUACUCAUUCCAGUGCCUGUGCCAUGGGGUAGAAGGAGACCUUUGGAGGGACUGUAUAGAUAGAUGGUUACAGAAAUUGUGGGACUAGAAUGUUACAUAGGCAUGCAUGCAUGAAAAAGAUGACAACUUGAAGCUUGUGUACACUUGAAAGAUGCGGGAUAGAGAAUUUCAGGUGUGGGGGUCUGCAGAGCAUCACAUACCUGCCAAGUGACAGGUUGCAAUGUUUCUAGGUAAAGGACGGUAGUUUGUCUCUGUGUCUUUGUACACUGACAGGUAAUGUUUUUCAGCCAUGACUUUGGUCCCAAAUCCUGCCAAUAGUGUCUUUAGUCUGUACUGAAAUGAAUUAUAAAAUAAAAAGUACCGACAAGAAGUCUGCAGGUGACCGUCUUUCGUUUUGAUAUUUAAGCACCCCUUUUCAGUCAACUGUGGGUGAUGACCAGGACUGGAGACCGUUUUUCGGUUUUGUUUUUGUUUUUUAGAGAAAAUAAUACAUUAGUAAUUCUUUCCGAUCCUUGAGUUCACUACUGACUGACUCUUUCUCAAACCCCAUUAGCUUUUAGAAUCCAAUUAUGUAGGGCAGCUGCCUGGGUGUGUGGCCAGCUCUCUGAAGCAGCAGGUAGCUUGUGCUCUUCUCUUCACUUUCAGAAGACCCUGCCACCCUACUCUAUCGGAGUUAUUAGUCUUUUUGUAGCAAGUGCCUCUGUUGCCUGAUGGCUGCAGUCUCCUUAUCUCUUCCUGGUAGACUUCUGGAUACUCUUUGCAAGGGGGCGACUUGCCUUGUGCCCAGCUGUGCUGCCCAAGCCCUUUGCCCAUAUUUGGUUAGAGAACCAUGAUAAGAGAGAAUUCCUUGAGCUAGCGUCUUUCUCACUGUGUAGAGGGGUCCCUAACAACUUUUAUGGCAGUCAUUUUGUUACCAUGAAGCACAAAGCCAGCUAAAUACACAUUUACUAGAUG